CUUGCUACAAAAAAAAGGACCAAAUGACUUCACUGGGGAUUUCUACCAAACAUACAAUGAAGAACUUAUACCUAUUUUCUCAGAACAUUCCACAAUAUUGAAGAGGAGAGAACACUCCUAAAGUAAUUAUAUGAAGCCACCAUAACCCUGAUAACAAAACCAG